UGGAGAAAAGCAGGGGAUCGUAAGACCUCGCGUUAUUAGAGCGGCCGAUAUCUGAUUAGCUAGUUGGUGGGGUAAAGGCCUACCAAGGCGACGAUCAGUAGCUGGUCUGAGAGGACGACCAGCCACACUGGAACUGAGACACGGUCCAGACUCCUACGGGAGGCAGCAGUGGGGAAUUUUGGACAAUGGGCGCAAGCCUGAUCCAGCCAUUCCGCGUGAGUGAAGAAGGCCUUCGGGUUGUAAAGCUCUUUCGCAAGGGAAGAAACGAUGCAGUCGAAUAAACUGCGUUAAUGACGGUACCUUGAUAAGAAGCACCGGCUAACUACGUGCCAGCAGCCGCGGUAAUACGUAGGGUGCGAGCGUUAAUCGGAAUUACUGGGCGUAAAGCGUGCGCAGGCGGUUUUGUAAGUCAGAUGUGAAAUCCCCGGGCUCAACCUGGGAACUGCGUUUGAAACUACAAAGCUAGA
rnacentral:rRNA from 1 species